rnacentral:rRNA from 1 species
UGGGGAGUUUUGGACAAUGGGCGCAAGCCUGAUCCAGCCAUGCCGCGUGCGGGAAGAAGGCCUUCGGGUUGUAAACCGCUUUUGUCAGGGAAGAAAUCUUCUGAGUUAAUACCUCGGGAGGAUGACGGUACCUGAAGAAUAAGCACCGGCUAACUACGUGCCAGCAGCCGCGGUAAUACGUAGGGUGCAAGCGUUAAUCGGAAUUACUGGGCGUAAAGCGUGCGCAGGCGGUUUUGUAAGACAGAGGUGAAAUCCCCGGGCUCAACCUGGGAACUGCCUUUGUGACUGCAAGGCUUGAGUGCGGCAGAGGGGGGAUGGAAUUCCGCGUGUAGCAGUGAAAUGCGUAGAUAUGCGGAGGAAACACCGAUGGCGAAGGCAAUCCCCUGGGCCUGCACUGACGCUCAUGCACGAAAAGCGUGGGGGAGCAAAACAGGAUUAGAUACCCUGGUAGUCCACGCCCUAAAACGAUGUCAACUGGUUGUUGGGAAGGUUCCUUCUCAGUAACGUAGCUAACGCGUGAAAGUUGACCGCCUGGGGAGUACGGCCGCAAGGUU